rnacentral:lncRNA from 1 species
GCCGCUAGGUAAAUCACUGACAGCCUUUGCGGCCAAAGCUUUUAUGAUCUCUUGUAAUGAUCGCAACGCUCUUACGCAGAUUCGAAAUAAGAUCUAUUGUUUUCUCUAAACUCGUUUGUUAUCUUUUCAUUAUUUCCGCAUAUAAUUGGCCACUUGUCGUUGGCUCUCGCAAAGAUCCGGGACCUCUGAGAAAUUAGGGUUUUACUAGUUUCCUAAUUUAAACAUAAAUCGACAAUUCGAAUUUCUGUUCCCACACUCA